rnacentral:rRNA from 1 species
GACGAACGCUGGCGGCGUGCUUAACACAUGCAAGUCGAGCGGUAAGGCCCUUUCGGGGUACGACGAGCGGCGAACGGGUGAGUAACACGUGGGUGACCUGCCCUCCAGCUCUGGGAGUAAGCCUGGGAAACCGGGGUCUAAUACUGGAUAUGACUCCAUGACGCAUGUUGUGGGGUGGGAAAGCCUUGUGCGGCUGAGGAUGGGCCCGGCGGCCUAUCAGCUUGUUGGUGGGGUGAUGGCCUACCAAGGCGACGACGGGUAGCCGGCCUGAGAGGGCGACCGGCCACACUGGGACUGAGACACGGCCCAGACUCCUACGGGAGGGCAGCAGUGGGGAAUCUUGCGCAAUGGGCGAAAGCCUGACGCAGCGACG